GGGCCCGCACAAGCGGUGGAUUAUGUGGUUUAAUUCGAAGCAACGCGCAGAACCUUACCUAGGCUUGACAUCCCACGACAAACGUAGAAAUACGUCUUUGUAGCAAUACACGUGGAGACAGGUGCUGCAUGGCUGUCGUCAGCUCGUGUUGUGAAAUGUUGGGUUAAGUCCCGCAACGAGCGCAACCCCUGGAUUUAGUUGCCAGCAUUAAGUUGGGCACUCUAAAUUAACUGCCAGCGUUAAGCUGGAGGAAGGUGGGGAUGACGUCAAGUCCUCAUGGCCCUUACGCCUAGGGCUACACACGUAAUACAAUGGAUAGGACAAAGGGUCGCGAACCUGCAAGGGGGAGCUAAUCUCAAAAACCUAUCCUCAGUUCGGAUUGGGGGCUGCAAUUCGCCCCCAUGAAGGCGGAAUCGCUAGUAAUCGUGGAUCAGAACGCCACGGUGAAUACGUUCCCGGGCCUU
rnacentral:rRNA from 1 species